UACGUAGGUGGCGAGCGUUGUCCGGAAUUAUUGGGCGUAAAGGGCGUGUAGGCGGCUAUUUAAGUCAGACGUGAAAGCCCUGGGCUUAACCCAGGAAUUGCGUUUGAAACUGGAUGGCUUGAGGACCGGAGAGGGUAGUGGAAUUCCCAGUGUAGCGGUGAAAUGCGUAGAUAUUGGGAGGAACACCAGUGGCGAAGGCGACUGCCUGGACGGCACCUGACGCUGAGGCGCGAAAGCUAGGGGAG
rnacentral:rRNA from 1 species